ensembl:lncRNA
UGGAAACCGCCAAAGUGAAAAUUUAUUCAGCUCAGCAUGUCUGAGAAAACCUUAGUCAGCACUUUGAAAAUAAUAUAGUUCAUCCAUACUUGACAAUAAUUACACUGUUCUGAUUCUUUUUUUCUUUUUCUUUCUGGUUAGCAAAGUCUGCUUUUGAGAACUAGAUCCUUAGCAGAGAAGCUUUUGUUCACCAUGGUAGCAGACAACACAGAUGUGAAGAUUAGAAAUGUUAUUUUACGGUCAGUUUGCAGGCAAAGGGGAAAAAUCCAGCAAGUAAUCAUCCCAGAGGACACUUGCUUUCCUGCUGUCACCAGAGAAUCACACCUUAGCCAAUUAAGCAUGUCUACUACCGGUAGGAAAUAGAGUACCUUCUUUUCUAUGGAACUGAGUGCACUGAGAAGGUGGACAACAUAAGCAAGGAUUCCAGUAGCUGUCCCUCCACAUAUAUCUGUCACACUAUGCAAGGACUCAGUGGGCCAAGACCUAAAAGGAAGCUGGACAUAUAGCUAAGACUCAUUUCCCAAGAUAUGGAGAGUGAUGAUAUUAACAUCAAGGAUGACAGUGACUUUCACAUUUAGGUAUAUGUACAAAAUUUAGUAAGAUGAUGGUGAUGUACCAACUCAAGUGGAACUCCAAUGAGUGGAAUCUUGUCAUCAUUUCCCAUAAACCGUCAACCAAUCUCUCUCUGAAAUGCAAGAUGUCAAUUGUGAAGGCAGAAGAUAACUUGAGCCAAUGUAACUCUGAGAAGAUAAAUUUAGAGCCGAUCAUAGCACAAAGAAAAAAAACAUUACAAAGAGGAAGGCACACAGUACAAAAAGACAUUGAUCACCUGCUUUGUCUCUUUCAAUGAGUCAAGGAAGUUGCUGCUGCAUAUGUAAAAUAUGUCUAGCUCUAUUGAAAGGGGUGAGUUCAAGAACACCCAAGAAUCUUUUGUGUAAAUAGAAAUAUAAACCCACAUAUACA